GGCAAAGGUAAACAGAGGCAGACACCUGCAGAUGGCCAGAAGCAGAGGGAGGGUGAAGAGCCCACGCCAGAGGAAAACAAAGUUUUGUUUGCUGGCACAGCUUCACCAAAGGCUAAAGGCAAGUCUGAUGGCCAGGAGCAGGGGGGCAAGCUGCAAAAGCCCACGCCAGUGGAAAACAAGGUUUUGUUUGCUGGCACAGCCUCACCAAAGGCUAAAGGCAAGUCUGAUGGCCAGGAGCAGGGGGGCAAGCUGCAAAAGCCCACGCCGGUGGAAAACAAGGUUUUGCUUGCCAGAACUGCUCCAAAGGUCACAGCCAGGUUUGUUGUUGAUUCAGGCUGUACCCGCCAUGUCUCAAAGGACCGCCACCUCUUUAUCUCCUUCAAACCUCAAGAAGGUGAGAUCCACCUGGCUGACGGAAAGACGUUGCGAAUCGCAGGAGAAGGGACUGUGAAACUGGCAAGUCUGCACACAACCAUCAAUGAUGUACUGUAUGUUCCAGGCGCUGCAGACAAUUUGCUCAGUGUCCCACAGUUGACUGGGCGUGGUUUUGAGAUUUCCUUCAAGAGGAG